rnacentral:lncRNA from 1 species
CUUCAGUAAUACUCCAAGAUGAAGUGGUUUCCACUGGCCAGAAAGAGCUGCUAAACUUACACUGCUGUACAGCAUCCCUGCCUGUAUUAAAUCUUGUGUGAAAAGGCCAAGUACCUUCCUUCCCCUGGUCUGACACGUUGUGUGCCAUCUUGGCAUGAUUUACAGGUCAUUACUGGCUAUGUAUUUGGCUGACUUCGUAGGUGCCAAAGACAGGUCACAGGGCAUGCAACCACUCAUACAUCUACGCAGAGCAUUCUGUACCGAAAACAACCAUAUCAAUUAUACAGCUGGAAAGAACAGAAGGUCUUUUAAAUUUCCCCUCCUUGCCCUGCAGUGGAGCUGGAGCCCGAGGGUCGUCUUGGCCGCACUUCCUCAGCCUUCGCCUUGUGCAGGGCGUCACUGUGCCCCUUGAACUCCAGCUGGUUUUUAUGUUUUUGAAUGAGAAGUAUAUGGGAGCCCUGGAUCAUGUCACCCAUCAGCUGACUAUUAAGAAAAAUGUAUCUAACCCAGUG